UUUUUUUUUAAAGUAAGAAUGGAAAACUAUAUGUUCAGGGAUCCUUUCUAUAGUUGGCUGCUAGAGAAGUUUCUCUGAAGCUUUAGAACAUUAUAAAAACCGCAACAUCCCGAAAGCAACAAUGGAGAAAUCCCAAAGGGUCAGGUCUGACGGGCCCUCUGAGAAGGGUACAGAAUAUCUUUCAGAAGUUCCCACCGGAGUGCAGGGAUGCUGAGCAUUUAGCCAUUGGCUCUUGUCUCCCCUACUGAGACCAAGAGGGAAAUUCACUCCCUCUGAUUCUGGGCUGUCCUGUGCCUCAGCGGGAUGCUUCUCUACCCUUCACCUCCCCAGCAUUGAGGAAGACCCAGGACAGGACGUGGACCGAACCACACAAGGCGAUUCUGACUCGAGAGGAGCAGACCAGCACACUGCAGAAAACAUCAGAGGAGAUGCUCCAAGUGUUAUAAUCAUGUAGAAGAUACAACAAGAAACUCAGCUUUUAAAAUACCUGGAUUGGAACACCUGGCAGUCUUAGUCAGUGGAGCACGUGACUCUUGAUCUCCGGGAUAUGAGUUCAAGCCCCAUGUUGAUUGUAGAGAUUACAUAAAUAGACUUAAAAAAAAAAAAAAAAACAACCUGGAUCAACAGACUUUCUUGCCUGAGUUUUCAAUUUAUCUUUGGUUAUCUGCAAAACUAUUAUCUCCCCCGUAGGAGUAAGAUGAUACAAAUAAAAUGUACUCAAACAGGUAGUUUCCCUCAAUUCCCUCCUGUAUUCACAAUUUUUUAAAAAAGUCUAUUAUUUUCCAGGCUACACUAAAUGGAGCCUUUCCCCAUGACUGAUGUAAAGUUUUCUAAGAGAAAAAUGAUGACCUUUGUGUUGGUAAAAACAUAUGGAUUAUAACAGGAGAAGCAAAUAUUUUGCAGAAUGAAGCAUGUGGUGUGUGGAGUAUUUUUAGCCCCCCCGAAAUUCUUAGCUCAACAGAAGUAUACUCUUAAGAACUAAAAGCUUUAAGAUGUGAAUGGCCUAGUUCAAUUCCCUUAAAGUCUGAGAAAUUCUUUCCAUAAUAUCACUUCUUCAGCCU
rnacentral:lncRNA from 1 species